UACGUAGGGGGCAAGCGUUGUCCGGAUUUAUUGGGCGUAAAGCGCUCGCAGGUGGUCCGCUGCGUCGUGCGUGAAAGACCCCGGCUCAACUGGGGGAUGUCGUGCGAUACGGGCGGACUGGAGGCCAGUAGGGGGAUGCGGAAUUCCGGGUGUAGUGGUGGAAUGCGUAGAGAUCCGGAGGAACACCAGCGGCGAAGGCGGCAUCCUGGACUGGUCCUGACACUGAGGAACGAAAGCCAGGGGAGCAAACGGG
rnacentral:rRNA from 1 species